GCCAGACUCCUACGGGAGGCAGCAGUGGGGGAUAUUGCACAAUGGGGGGAACCCUGAUGCAGCGACGCCGCGUGAGCGAUGAAGUAUUUCGGUAUGUAAAGCUCUAUCAGCAGGGAAGAAAAUGACGGUACCUGACUAAGAAGCCCCGGCUAACUACGUGCCAGCAGCCGCGGUAAUACGUAGGUGGCAAGCGUUGUCCGGAUUUACUGGGUGUAAAGGGCGUGUAGCCGGGUUGUCAAGUCAGAUGUGAAAUCCUGCGGCUUAACCGCAGAACUGCAUUUGAAACUGUUGAUCUUGAGUACAGGAGAGGCAGACGGAAUUCCUGGUGUAGCGGUGAAAUGCGUAGAUAUUAGGAGGAACACCAGUGGCGAAGGCG
rnacentral:rRNA from 1 species